rnacentral:rRNA from 1 species
GACGAACGCUGGCGGCGUGCUUAACACAUGCAAGUCGAACGGAAAGGCCCUGCUUUUGUGGGGUGCUCGAGUGGCGAACGGGUGAGUAACACGUGAGUAACCUGCCCUUGACUUUGGGAUAACUUCAGGAAACUGGGGCUAAUACCGGAUAGGAGCUCCUGCUGCAUGGUGGGGGUUGGAAAGUGUCGGCGGUUGGGGAUGGACUCGCGGCUUAUCAGCUUGUUGGUGGGGUAGUGGCUUACCAAGGCUUUGACGGGUAGCCGGCCUGAGAGGGUGACCGGGCACAAUGGGCCUGAGGGACGGACCAGACUGCUACGGGAGGCAGCAGUGGGGAAUAUUGCGCAGUGGGGCGGAGCCUGAUGAAGCAGCGCCGCGUGCGGGAUGACGGCCUUCGGGUUGUGAACCGCUUUCGGCUGUGACGAAGCGGGAGUGACGGUAAUGAGUAAAGAAGCACCGGCUAACUACGUG